UACGGAGGGUGCAAGCGUUAUCCGGAUUUACUGGGUUUAAAGGGUGCGUAGGCGGGCCAUUAGGUCAGUGGUGAAAGCUCCGAGCUUAACUCGGAAACUGCCAUUGAUACUAUUGGUCUUGAAUUCGGUCGAGGUUGGCGGAAUGUGUCGUGUAGCGGUGAAAUGCUUAGAUAUGACACAGAACACCGAUUGCGAAGGCAGCUGGCUACACGAAUAUUGACACUGAUGCACGAAAGCGUGGGGAUCAAACAGG
rnacentral:rRNA from 1 species